GUUAUUGCCACCGAUCAAUACUCUUUUGUUUUUCUUCAGCCACGUAAUACACCUCCUGCAGUCACCUCCUUUUCCCCAAUUUCAAAACCUUCCCUCUGUUAAUCUCUCGACCUCACCGCCUCUUCCCCCCUCACUUCUUCCCUCUCCGCCGCUACAUCCUUACACGCCCUCUCAAUCUCUUCAUCCACAUAAUCACUUAUCCUACGUCUCUCUUCUCUCAGCAGCAGCGCCGCUCUCCUCCGUUUCUCCUUCUACUCGAAGCCGUGCUCCUUCCCCUGGGGCUCUCUCUUAAUUGAUUUCACUUCCUAAUUAGAAGUUCAUCGUGUUCCAUAUUCGUUCGAAUUUAGUUAACUCCGUCGGCAUCGACAACUGAAGUACCGUGUCACUCUUGGAGAAUCAACCGAGACUUGUCUAUCAAGGACAUAUCAAGGACAUUCAGAAGUUUUUAAAUAGCUUUGCGAAUUGAAUGAGGAAUAGUUCCUUAAAACGAAGCUGUGCUGUGAGAUAGUUUGGUAGAAUUAAAUCGGUAUGAAAAUCAGCAGAACUGAGAUAGUGUUAAAGAUGAUUCAUCUGUCUAGGCUGCGCGUAAGAGUAAUGCUAGGCAAGGAUUUCAAGUGAUUAGUUGUAACUGAAUGAUCAGGUAAAGUAUUCAGGAAGAUGUCUGCGAGAUUAGUGGUAAUUAGAGUUGGCUUAAUUUCGCUUCAAAUGUAAAAUAAAUUUAUUAAAUAUUAUCAGCUACUCUGAUAAUUUAGAUUGUAUUGUAAUAAGAUUUAUUAGUUGUGAUUCUGAUUUCAA